rnacentral:rRNA from 1 species
AGAACGAACGCUGGCGGCGUGGAUAAGACAUGCAAGUCGAACGCGAUUUAUCUGGUUAGCAAUAACCAGGUAAAUUGAGUGGCGAAAGGGUGCGUAACACGUGGGAAUUUACCAAGAAGUGGGGAAUAGCUCGACGAAAGUCGAAUUAAUACCGCAUAUGAUCGCAAGAUCAAAGCCGGGGACCGCAAGGCCUGGCGCUUUUUGAGAAGCCCGCGGCCCAUCAGCUAGUUGGCGGGGUAACGGCCCACCAAGGCUAUGACGGGUAGCUGGUCUGAGAGGACGACCAGCCACACUGGAACUGAGACACGGUCCAGACACCUACGGGUGGCAGCAGUCGAGAAUUUUUCACAAUGGACGAAAGUCUGAUGGAGCGACGCCGCGUGGAGGAUGAAGGUUUUCGGAUUGUAAACUCCUGUCACUGCAGAACAAGGGUGUGUUCAUGAAUAGUGAAUGCAUUUGAUGGUAUGCGGAGAGGAAGGGACGGCUAACU